rnacentral:lncRNA from 10 species
CUCCCAAAGUGCAGGGAUUAGAGGCGUAAGCCACUGCGCCCAGCCCCUAGGCCUGUAAUAGUUAAGACAAUCAUUUAUACAUCAUUUAUAUCAAUCACCACAGUCCACAAAAGUCAGCCUUAGAUAAGAUGCCAAAAAUCGGAGAUGAAUUAAAAGAAAGAGUCCUGGGUCAGUAGUACAGCUUUGUUGCAAGUAUCUGCAGGGACCUGGUAGAGGUGUGAGAGACACAGUUCCUUGGUGUGAAGGGUGAGAGGUCACAGGGAGGGUAGCAGGAAGCCCAAGAACAGGUAACUGAAUUUGGACAGGCUUUUGAUAUUUUAAGCCCAUUUCCAUGGAUUUUUGUUGUGUUUUGAAGAUAGGGUCUCGCUCUGUCACCCAGGAUGGUUUCUUAAUAUAUUUACUAUAAUUAUUCCCUUGGAAUACUAAUAUUAAUACUAAGUUAAAUUCUUUGAAAAUCCAGCCAGUGUCAGUUAUGCUAAAUGAAAACAAAACACUUUGUACAAUUUUAUAUUUAAAAAGAGAAGCUCUACACUCUAGGAUUAGAAGCAGUGGAGCCAGCAAGACUCUCAGGGCAACAUUAGCUACCAUUUAUGGAGCACUUCUUAUGUUCCAUGUGCCAGGCUAAAUUAUUUUCAUACAUUAUCCCACUAAUGUAUAAACAACCCUAUCAUUUAGCUAUUAUCAGCUCCAUUAUAUAGACAAGGAAAUGGAGGCACAAAGACGUUCCAUAACUCUAACAGGAUUACAGGACAGAGAGGUGGCAGAACAAGGAUUCAAACCCAAUCCUUCUGUUCUCAAGCUCAGACUCGGAACCAUUAUGCUUUACCGUCUUACCAAAAUGAGAAUCAAAAUGAAAGAACCUCAAAGAGAAAUAAAAACUCAAAGGAAGAAUCUGAGUUCUUUAAACAACACCAGAGCAAUCCUGUCCUAAAACUGGAGGAUUUUCAGGUUUUGCAAUGUGACAAACUUGGAAAAGAUACAUCUGACACUAAAUCCUUUGGCAAUUUUAUUCCACCUCGGGGCUUCAACUACCCCAUUCUCAGUAUCUCCAUCUUAACCUUGAUGACUUCUCAAGAUAUUAAAUAUUUCCAUCUGCCUAAUGACAAAAAUCACUCAUCUCAAUAAAAAGCUGUAUUUAUUAGCAUCUUCUUCCUCAAAUCAGUUUGUCCUCCUGUGUUCCCAAUUUUUUAAUGGCACAGGUGUAAUGCAAAUUACCUAUGCUUCACACCUCCCCCACAUGUAAGACUAUAUGCCUUGUUCUAACAGUUGCCAAAUCCAACUAAUUCUACCUCUACAACGUCUCCCAUCUGUCAUACCUCUUCAUUUCCCCUACAGUUAGAAAGGUUAGAUUCUCGGCCGGGCAUGGUGGCUCAUGCCUGUAAUCCCAGCAUUUUGGGAGGUCGAGGCAGGCAGAUCACCUAAGGUCAGGAGUUCAAGACCAGCCUGACCAACAUGGAGAAACUCCCCCGUCUCUACUAAAAAUACAAAAAAAUAGUCGGGCGUGGUGGUGCAUGCCUGUAAUCCCAGCUACUCGGAAGGCUGAGGCAGGAGACUCACUUAAACCCAAGAGGCGGAGGUUGCAGUGAGCCAAGAUCACGCCAUUGCACUCCAGACUGGGCAACAAGAGUGAAACUCUGUCUCAAAAAAAAGGAAAAGAAAAAAGAAAGGUUAGAUUCUCAUUACUUUCCACCCAGUCUUCACUCUCUUCCUUUCAUGACAUACUAGAAAUAGCUAUCCUAAAACACAACUCUAUCAUGUCACUCCUUUAUCAGAACACCUUCAAAAAGGCUCCAUUCCCCACCAAUCAACCCUUCAAGAUUCAGACCAAAUGCCUCCUUCUCCAAGCAACCUUGUGUAAUCUCCUUCCCCUAAGGAGAGGUCAUUGCUUCCUCCUCUGAACUUCAGCAGUACCUCACUUGACCCUUACCAAUUUCAGCCUCCUAUCACAAGUACCUGUACUGACAUACAAGCAUCGUCACCCUACUGGAAGACAAGCGCCUUAGGAGAAGGUUCAAUGUCUAAUUGAACUGUGAGUCUCCCACAAAUUCUGGUGAAAAUAUACUUGCACACAGUAGGUACUUAAAUAUUUGACAAAUGAAUGAAAAAAUUACAAAUCAGCUUUCUCGGUUAUAACACAAGCUUUUCAGCACAAGAACUUGUGCCCAUUUACUUAAUUUUUUUAAAACAUACAAAUUGUGAAGACUAAUCAUAAUUUCCAUGAAACCAGCCCUUUUUGGUUCCUAGAAUACCCGAGAAAGGUGCUUAUUUUAUUUGAAGACAAAAAAAGUAGCAUCAGUUAGCUAGGUCAGGCACCAUCUAACUCUACUAUUCACUGAGGCCAGGAACAUUUCCUAGGGCCUCAGCUUUGGUCCUUCUGGAUGAAGCCUCAGGGGGACUUUCCUCUGAUAAUGGACUAAACGAUUCAAGAUGACCUUAAUGACCACCCUGUUUAAAACAGCCUCCUUAUUUCUCCAAUACUUCUUCUCCAAACAUUGAUGUUUCCACCAUAAGGUCAGCUCCUCUUUUUCUUCCCCUUAUGGCAAGGCUUAUGGAGAAACUACACCACAUAAAUGAAGACUAGGAGCUCAAAAUUCCAGAAUGACCUGGGACCAUGGAAAAUUAGUAUUUUGCCUUCUACAGUAAAGUCACACUCUUGAGCAAAGGAGGAAAAAAAAAUUAUCACAGUCCCUCAAUCAGCAAAAAUCUAGGCAUGGAAGACUAAAAGAAGUUAGGGUCCAGUAAGCUUAAAAAAGAAAACAGUGACUCAGAAAUUUCCUAUCUGCAAUAUAUAGCAGGUUUAGAGGACGAAAAUGAAAACAGAAGAUUAUUUCUAGACAGCUUGAUGGAGAAAGAUAAUAUUUACCUCAGUAAAGUUACAACCAUAGGAACAAAUCCAGAUUCUAUUUGUUUUUGUACAACUCUGCAAAAAAUCAUAGGGUGUAAUUCACUUCUCAGUUCAGAAAUAAGACGUCCUUAAAAAAAUAAGUAAGAGGUACUUCUUGAAAACUAAAAGAAAAAAAAUCUACUCCCAUAAUCAAGAGUUUCCAUGCAGUAUUAAAAAUGAUGUCCAGCUGGGCGCAGUGGCUCACACCUGUAAUCCCAGCACUUCGGGAGACUGAGGCGCAUGGAUCAUUUGAAAUCAGGAGUUUGAGACCAGCCUGACCAACAUAAUGAAACCCCGUCUCAACUAAAAACACAAAAAAAUCAGCCAGAUGUGGAGGCGCACGCCUGUAAUCCCAGCCACUCAGGAGGCUAAGGCAGGGGAAUCACUUGACCCUGGGAGGCAGAGGUUGCAGUGAGGCAAGAUCGAACCACUGCACUCCAACCUGGGCGACAGAGCUAGACUCCGUCUCAAAAAACAAACAAACAAAAAACAAGACCGGGCACGGUGGCUCAUGCCUGUAAUCCCAGCACUUUGGGAGGCCGAGGCAGGCGGAUCACGAGGUCAGGAGAUAGAGACCAUCCUGGCCAACAUGGUGAAGCCCCAUCUCUACUAAAAGUACAAAAAUUAGCCGGGUGUGGUGGCAUGCGCACCUGUAGUCCCAACUACUCGGGAGGCCGAGGCAGGAGAAUCACUUGAACCCAGAAAGCAGAGGUUGCAGUAAGCCGAGAUCACGCCACUGCACUCCAGCCUGGCAACAGAUCAAGACUCCGUCUAAAAAAAAAAAAAAAAAGUCCCUCCUAUAAUUCAGGAAGUGAAGGUGCUAGUUGACUGUUAUUUAUUCUCACUCAAAAAGCUAACUCAAGGUCAAGAAGACCUCUGCCACCAGCUGCAGUGUACCAAUCCUAGGAGGCUAUUUCUCAGAACCCCAUGCUUCUUAUCAAGAUGGUUCCCACGCUGUCUUCCCUUUCCCUCAUCACUGCCUCCUCCAGGUCAAAGAAUAUCCCCAGGGCAAGUUGCAGCUGCUCCUUAUGCACUCAGCCCUGGCCUCAGAGUACACAUGGGUUUUGCCUCAUCUAUGACUCUUGGGGGAAGCUUACUAUGCAGAGAGCAACUGCAAUGUGUCGCUCUCUAUAGGAUCCCAGCCAGGUGCCUUAGUGCCAUCGGGAAAAUGAGAGGAAACAAGGAACACACAAAAAUCAUGAAAUACUGCUUCGGGUACUAACUCCAAGACAGAAUUUUUUUCUUAAGUUAAAUGUUUAAAAACAAAAAAAAGCUACAGUCAUCUAUGUAUUCAGUCAUCCAGUCAAUCCCAUGCCAAGUAUAAUCUCUGUUAACUAUGCUUAGUGUGGUCAGAAAGGAAGUCUAGAUAAACAAUCACAACAACAGAGUGGGCUGAAUGCAAACAGCCGGGGUUCAAGGAAGGCUCCCUGAAGAAAAUUACCUGUAAACUGAAGCAAGCAAGAGGUGACCAGGCUAAGAAGAAAAGAAUGUUCACCACACAGCCAUUACUCAGGGACGUAAUUCACCCAGAUUUCUAUUUUUAAAAGAUCAAAGGCUCCAAAAAAGCAAAGGGCCAGUAAGCACAAGACAGAGGCUCAACCUCAUUAGGGAAAUGCAAAUCAAAACUGUAAGAUACCACUUCACACCCAUCAGAAUGGCUACAAUCCAAAACCCAGAUAGUAAGUAUUAGUGCUAAUGUGGAAAAACUGCAAGGUUCAUGCAUUGCUAGUAAAAUUGUAACAUGGUGUAGCCACUUUGGAAAACAGUUUGUCAGUUUCUCAAAAUGUUAAACAGAGGUUCCAUACCCCCCAAAAAUUUCACUCUUAGGCUUUGGAAGUCACCCCAAGAGAAAUGCAAAUACACAUCCUCACAGAAGUUUGUACAUGAACGUUCACAACAGCAUUUUUUUAACAGCCAAAAAGUAGAACCAUUCAAAGUGUCCAUCAACUAGUGAAUAAAUAAAAUGUGGCAUAGCCACACAAUGGACUAUGAUUUGGCAUUUAUUGGGAAUGAAGUACAGAUGUUAUGCUACCACAUGGGUGAACCUUGAAAACAUUAUACUAAGUCAAAGCAGCCAGUUACAAAAGACUACAUGAUUCAAUUAACGUGAAAUGUCCAGAAUAGGCAAAUCCAUAAAGACAGAAAGAAGAUUAAGGGCUGCUUAGGGCUGGGGGAUGAGUAGAGGAGGAAAUGAGGAGUAACUGCUCAUGGAUACAGGAUUUCUUCUGGGCAUAAUUAAAUGUUCUGAAAUUGCAGUGAUGAUUGCACAACUCUGUGAACACAAAAAACAAUUGAAUUGUACAAUUUAAGUAGGUAAAUUAUAUGAUAUGUGAAUUGUAUCUCAAUAAAGCUGUUAUAAAACCAAACAAAAGGCCGGAUGCGGUGGCUCAUGUCUGUAAUACCAGCACUUUGGGAGGCUGAGGUGGAUGGAUCACCCGAGGUCAGGAGUUCAAAACCAGCCAGGUCAACCUGGUGAAACCCCAUCUCUACUAAAAAUACAAAAUUAUGCCAGGCGAGGUAGCUCAUACCUGUAAUCUCAGCACUUUGGGAGACCGAGGCAGGCGGAUCACAAGGUCAGGAGAUCGAGACCAUCCUGGCCAACAUGGUGAAACCCCGUCUCUACUAAAAAUACAAAAAUUAGUAGGACAUGGUGGCACGUGCCUGCAAUCCCGGCUACCCGGGAGGCUGAGGCAAGAGAAUCGCUUGAACCAGGGAGUCGGAGGUUGCAGUGAGUCAAGAUCGCACCACUGCACUCCAGCCUGGCGACAGAGCGAGACUCCGUCUCAAAAAAAAAAAAAUUAGCCGAGUGUGCUGGUGCAUGCCUGUAAUCCUAGCUACUUGGGAGGCUGAGGCAGGAGAAUCACUUGAACCUGGGAGGCAGAGGUUGCAGUGAGCUGAGAUUGCAACACUGCACUCCAGCCUGGGCAACAAUGAAACUGCAUCUCAAAACAACAACAACAAAAAGAAAAAACAAACAAAAGAUCAAAAGGACUACAGCAGUGAAGAACAAAAUUUCUAAUUUUGUUAGAAAUUAGAGGAUUUGAACAUGCCAACUGGUUUGGAAUCUAUAAAGUAAUUCAAGCAAGAGACAGUGGCCAGGUGCAGUGGCUCACGCCUAUAAUCCCCGCACUUGGGAGGCCAAGGCUGGCAGACCACUUGAGGUCGGGAGUUCAAGACCAGCCUGGCCAACAUGGUGAAACCCCAUCUCUACUAAAAAUCAAAAAAUUAGCUGGAUGUAGUGGCACGCACCUAUAAUCCCAGCUACUCAGGAGGCUGACGUGGGAGAAUCACUUGAACCCAGGAGGUGGAGGUUGCAGUCAGCCAAGAGCCAAGAUUACACCACUGCCCUCCAGCCUAGGCAACACAGCAAGACUCCAUUGCAAAAAAAAAAAAAAAAAGAAAAGAAAAAAAAGAGAGAGAGAGAGACAGUGGCCUGAACUAGCGUAAUGGAUUAGGAAGAGAUAAGAGAUACAGGAAAAAGAAACAAUACUUGAUUCUAUAUAGUGGGGAGAAGAGAAGGAAUCAACACAGCCCAGGGUUACUUACUUAGAAAAUUGAGUAGCAUUUAUCAAAACAGGAAAACACAGAAAGACAUGUUUGGGAGCAGGAAAAUUCACAAUAUUGUGAAAUUUAAUUAUAUUUACAAAAGUUAUAUAAGGACUUAGAGAAGGUUUUAAGAAGGUUUUGUUUUAAGGUUUUGUUGGAAGCUUUCUUGGGCAUUUAUCUAAUUUUAAAAUGCAAUUUAAUGUUAGUUAUGUUUAUAAGUAGAACUGGAUAUUUAAACAGAAUUCAACUUGAAUUAAUCAACAUGUAUCAAAAACUGCAUUAUUUUUCUUUUACCUUUAUAUAAAAUGUACUGAAUUAAUGAAUAGACUAAUAUGAUUUAUAAACUGAACUCAAGGCUCAAGGAAAAUUGGACUUUAAACUUUUUAACAAUAAAUUGACUAUUCAUUUUCUACACCAGAAACUGUAAGUAGUUGGGUAUCACUGGCAUGUAGCAUUACUGGUUGAAAACCGAGAAGUUCUAAUUUGAUGGCUUCUAUUUUCUCUGGAAAUGAGGUCAUCAAUUCAGGAAAUGGAACGGAAGGAUGGGUGGUAUGAGAAAGUAGACCAGGAAUCCAAGGUUUGAUACAUAAUUGAAAUAAAAGCAAUGGAGGCCAGGCACAGUGGCUCAUGCCUGUAAUCCCAAUACUUUAGGAGUCUGGGGCAGGACAAUUGCUUGAGCCAGAAUUUGAGACCAGCCUGGGCAACAUGGUGAAAUCUCAUCUCUACAAAAAGCAAGUCAAAAUUAGCUGGGUGAUGUGGUGCACAUCUGUAUUAAUCCCAGCUACUUGGGAGGCCAAGGCAGGAGGAUCACUUGAACCAGUAGGUGGAGGCUGCAGUAAACCAAGAUUGCACCACUGCACUCCAACCUGGGCUGCAGAGUGAGGCCUUGUCUCAAAAAAAAAAAAAGAGAAAGAAAAAAAAUGCUGCUUAUCAAAAAGGAUGGGAUUUCUAAAUAAAAAGCUUUCUUUAUUAAAAAAAAUUAAAAAUAGCCUGUAAUCCCAGCACUUUGGGAGGCCAAGGCAGGCGGAUCACUUGAAGGUCAGGAGUUCAACACCAGCCUGGCCAACAUGGUGAAACCUCAUCUCUACUAAAAAUAAAAACAAAAUUAGCCAGGCAUGGUGGUGCACGCCUGUAGUCCCAGCUACUUGGGAGGCUGAGGCAGGAGAAUCACUUGAACCUAGGAGGCGGAGGUUGCAGGGAGCAGAGAUCACACCACUGUACUCCAGCCUGGGUGACAGAGCGAAACUUUGUCUCCAAAUAUAAUAUAAUAAUAAAAUAAAAUAAAAAUGAAUAAAUAAAAGUGAUGGAGAAAAGACGAGCUACGUGGUGGACAGAUACAGAAGGACCACUUGAAAUAGUCACAGGCCAUUUGGAGUAAAAAGGCCAUGACUUCAUGAGGCAUCCAUUAGCUGAAUGAUGUCUUUUUCUUUAAAAUUACUUAGUAGCAUAAUGACUUUCUUCCAAAUAAUGUAAAAAGAACGUGUUUCUGGAGUCUUGAUUUUCAGCUAUACCUUAAAGAUAGAAAUAACUAAGAGGAAAUUUGAUGUAUGUACUUACACAGGAAUACUCUGCACUCUAAAUCUAACCAUGGAAAAACAUUCUUUCCAGGAAAGUUGUAUAAACCACAAUAUCCAUUUCAGAAGAUAAUGAAAGUAUCAUUCAUUCAUUAUACUUUAAUAUCAUUUCUAUGUCCUUUUUCUCUAAUCCUUAAGUCAGAAUUCUAGACGAGUAUUGUCCAACAGAACUGUUGGGAAUGAUGGAAAUAUACUGUAUCUGUGCUGGCCAACACAGCACCCACUGGUCACAUGUAGCCACUGAACACUUGAAAUGCAGCUAGUGUGACUGAAGAACUUAACUUUAAAUUUUAUUUAAGUUAAUUUAAAUAGUCAUAUGAGGGUAGUGCCUACCAUAAAGAACAGCACAGUAAACUUUUCUGUUAAAGAAAAUGAAGAAAUUUACAGGCCAGUUAGGUGUCCAAGAGUCCUGUUUACAACACAAAAGAUGUGAAUUCACUCACUUAUGAAUACAUGUAACAACACCGACGCUUGUCCCUGAAGAGCCUUUGGUUCUAUUCUCAUAAUACAAGAGCUCUAAAGUCUCAAAAAUGUGGGUGUGGACUAGGAGGACAAAGGAAAUCCAUUUCACACCCCAAGUUCCAAGAGAAACCGUGUACUUAGAGAAGGAGUUCAUCAUCCUUAGGGGAAAAAUGUUCAUCAGACAACUUCUAGAGGCCAGAGGUCGGCAAACGGUGGCCCACAGGCCACAUCUGGACUGCAACCUGUUUUUACAAAUAAAUUUUAUAGGAACACAGACAUACUCAUUUGCUGUAAAAGCAUGUAUCCAUGCUUUGGGGCUAUAAGGGUAGAGGUGAGUAGUUGUGACCAUCUGGCCCACGCAGCCUAAAAUGUUUACUACCUCACAUAGUAAAUCAUUGAUUUGAGUAAAUGUUUUUUACCCAAUGAUUUGAGUAAAAGGAGUAAAAGACUUUGUUUUGAGGGGUAAACUGCUGCUGUAUUUUAUUAUUAGGAAAAAAGCAAUUUCAAGGAAAAAACAAAAAACAAAAACAAUCAUAUAUAGAAGAUUUAAAAUACUGCACUUCCAAUCCCAAUCCACAGUAUUCCAUCAAAAAAUCACUGACCCAAUAAAUGACUGUCCAAGUACAAAGUGAUAGGCAGAUGCCUAAUUCAGAAUGACAACCUUAAGACACUGAAUUCCGAACCAUUUUUAAAGUUGUAAAACUCCAAACCACUAUAAAGGAUGUAAAACACAUCAUUUUGGUUUGUUUGGAGACAGGGUCUCAAUCGCUCACCCAGGGUGAGGUGCAGUGGCACAGUCAUGGCUCACUCCAGCUUCAACCUCCAAGGCUCAAGCGAUCCUCCCAUGUCAGCCUCCCAAGUACCUGGGACUACAGGCUCAUGCUAUCAUGCCCAGCUAACUUUAUUAUUUUAUUUUUGUAGAGAUGGGGUCUCUGCCCAGGCUGGUCUCGAACUCCUGGACUCAAGCGAUACUCCUGCCUCAGCCUCCCGAAAUGCUGGGAUUACAGACAUGAGUCACCACACCCAGGCCACACGAUUUUUUUUUAUUUUUUAUUUUUUGAGAUGAAGUCUCGCUCUGUUGCCCAGGCUGGAGUGCAGUGGCACAAUCUCAGCUCACCACAACCUCCAUCUCCCAGGUCCAAGCAAUUCUCCUGCCUCAGCCUCCCGAGUAGCUGGGAUUCCGGGCGCACACCACUGCACCUGGCUAAUUCUUUGUGUUUUUAGUUGAGAUGGGGUUUCACCAUGUUGGCCAGAUUGGUCUUGAACUCCCGACCUCAGGUAAUCCACCCGCUUCAGCCUCCCAAAGUGCUGAGAUAACAGGCGUGAGCCACCGCGCCCGGCCAACACCAUUAAUUUUUAAGUACACUAAUAUAUUGGAAAUUUUCUAAAACAAAGCUUGAAACAACUAUCACCAAAAGUUCUGUAACACAAAGAGUCAAUACCACUGAACACAGUGUUUUCACCUGUAACGGAGUAAACAUUCUCAUUUCAGAAUAUUAUUGAAAUAGUUAAGGUAUUAUCAUGAGGUACAGUACCUGACACAGAAUGGGUACUUAUUUAAAAAAAAAUUUUUUUUUAAAAGGAUGACUGUAAGGGGUCAUUCCCCAUGGAUUAUGGAUAAUUAGGGCCUUACCUUCUCAAUAAUGCAAAACUACAUUUUCAAUAUUGUAGCAUCACUGAAUGUUUUGUCCAAAACUAGAUUUAGAGAAAAUGUCACCUACUGAUUGAGAGCACAGUCUCGAGAAGCAGACUGCCUCAGUCUACUUAUAGCCCUACUACGUACUAGCUCUGUCCUCAGUUUCCUCAUCUGCGAAAUAACUAUACUUAACAAUCCAUGAAGAACAAGGGAAGGGUACAGUGACGUAGAACAACACUGUGGCAAACUGUAAGCACUCAACAAAAUGCUGUAUUUUAAAAACCUAUGGCUAAUGUACUGCCCAAAAUUGGUACAAUCUUUUUUAGAGGGUAACUUGGCAAUUUCUACUAAAAUCUAAAAUAUGCCUAACUUUUGAAUCAGUAACUCUAUUUUUAGGAAUUCAUCCUGUAAAAAUAUUCACAGGUUUAUGAAAAGAUAUUGACAAGGAUGUUAACUGCAGCAUCGUUCAUAAUAGCAAAUAACCGGAGGCAGUCUAAACAUCUAUCAGUUGAAAACAGGCCAAAUUAUAACACUAACAUGUUUUCUUAUGGAAUACCUGUAAUUAUUAAAAAAUAAACUAUGUGUGCACCUAUUUGGGGAAAUGUUCAUGAUUUGUGGUUAAGAUUAAAAAGUGGGUCUCAGUACAGUAUGUAGAAUAAAAUCUUAUUUCUAUUAAUUAAAAAAAGACAGAAAAUAACUACAGCAGUCAGAAUCCACUAAGGAGAUGCAACAACCCACCUGCUGGGGGGGGAAAAUGUAAUGAAAAAGAAAAUGCAUAUAGCAUAAAUGUUUUUUAGAGAAAAAACAUGGAACUCCUCUAACAGCUAUCAUUUUGGAGAUUAGAACUAUUAGAAACUGGGCCGGGCGUGGUGGCUCACACCUAAUCUCAGAAUUUUGGGAGGCCGAGGCGGGUGGAUCACUUGAGGUCAGGAGUUCGAGUCCAGCCUGGCCAACAUGACAAAACCCCAUCUCUACUAAAAAUACAAAAAAAUUAGCCAGACGUGAUGGCGCACACCUGAGGUCCCAGAUACUCCGGAGGCUGAGGCAGGAGAAUCGCUUGAACCCAGGAGGCAGAGGUUGCAGUGAGCUGAGAUUGCGCCACUACACUCCAGCCUGGGUGACAGAGAGAAACUUGUUUCAAAAAAAAAAAAAAAACUAUUAGGAACUUCUAUUUGCUAAAUAUUUUUUUGCAUUAUGUAAAGUUUAUAAUUAGCAUAUACUAAUUUUACAAUCAGAAAAAAGAUGGGCCGGGCAUGGUGGCUCACGCCUGUAAUCCCAGCACUGUGGGAGGCCAAGGCAGGCAGAUCACGAGGUCAGGAGAUAGAGGCCAUCCUGGCUAACAAGGUGAAGCCCCGUCUCUACUAAAAAUACAAAAAAUUAGCCAGGCGCGGUGGCGGGUGCCUGUAGUCCCAGCUACUCGGGAGGCAGAGGCAGGAGAAUGGCAUGAACCCGGGAGGCGGAGCUUGCAGUGACCGGAGAUCACGCCACUGCACUCCAGCCUGGGUGACAGAGUGAGACUCUGUCUCAAAAAAAAAAAAAAAAAAAAGAAAGAAAAAAGAAAGAUAAAAUAGGUUUUUAGAGACUUGUGAGAACUCUGCUGCAAACGCUGUUUAGGAAAACAUAUAAAAUUUUGUAUGUAUGUACUGUCACAUGUACAUGUACAUAUGUAAUAUCUAUAUACCCAAUUUUGUAAAAUAAUCCCAAUUUUGUAAUACAUAUAACUAGAAAAAGAGACUGGAAGAAAAGACACCAAAAUACAGACAGCUGUUAUCUCUAUAAACUCCAUGAAGGCAGGAGCUUCAACUGUUUUAUAUUGAAAUAUAUACUCAAUUACAAACAUAUGCUUAUUUUUUUUAAUUACGAGAUAUAACCUGUCACUACACUGGACUGAAACUUACUGCUACUUGAGAUAUUUGUUCCUGAUAUAUAAAUUCUGUUUUACUUUAUCCUCUUGAAGCAUCAUUCUAAGUAAAAUCUUACAAAGUAAACUUACAAAUCCAGCAAGGAAAAAAAAUUAGAUUACAUACUGUACCUUGCUCUGAUAAGAACUUUACAAUGGCUUUGAGGAACUCAACAAGGAAAAUCAGUGUUUCCAAGAAGAAGAAAUUCGGCAGGACUUGGUGGUUCACACCUGUAAUCCCAGCACUUUGAAAGGCCACGGCAGGUGGAUCACCUGAGAUCAGGAGUUCAAGACUAGCCUAGCCAACAUGGUGAAACCCCAUCUCAACUAAAAAUACAAAAUAAUUAGUUGGGCAUGGUGGCGGGCACCUGUAGUCCCAGCAGCUACUCAGGAGGCUGAGGCAGAAGAAUCACUUGAACCCGGAAGGUAGAGGUUGCAGUAAGCUGAGAUUGGCCACUGCACUCCAGCCUGGGCAACAGAGCAAGACUCGGUCUCAAAAAAAGAAAAGAAAAAGAAAUUUAUGGGCUGGGCACAGUGGCUCAUGCCUGUAAUCCCAGCACUUUGGAAGGCUGAGGCAGGUGGAUCACUUGAGGCCAGGAGUUCAAGGCCAGCCUGGCCAACAUAGUGAAACCCCAUCUACUAAAAGUACAAAAAUUAGCCAGGCUUGGUGGCACAUGCAUGUAAUCCCAGCUACUUGGGAAGCUGAGGCGCAAGAAUCGCUUGAACCCAGGAGGUGAAGGUUGCAGUGAACAGAGAUCAUGCCAUUGUAUUCCAGCCUGGGCAACUAAGAAAUUUACUUCUUUAAAAAAUAAAAAUAAAAAAAUAAGUGAAUAUCUGGUCUGUACCUUUAAUACAAUAUCAACUAAACUUAAAAGAAAAAGAAUUUUGUUGAUUGAAUUACCAAAGAAAGUUUUUGAGAAUUUUAAGGUCCAAAAAUGUUACUAUUAUUUGUCAUCUUAACUUAAAGAUCUAAAAGUCAAAACAUCUGUCUAAAUAGAGAUGUUCAAGAAAUAUUUCAUGCUUUGAAAUGCUAUAGCAAUAAUAUGAAAUUAUAUUAAAUCAUAACCAGAUGAUAUGUCUUCAUAACAACUCUCAACCAAAGAAAGCAGAUGCUGAAAGAAGGUUGCUGGCCGGGUACGGUGGCUCACACCUGAAAUCCCAGUGCUUUGGGAGGCCAAGGUGCGCCAAUCACUUGAGCUCUGAAGUUCAAGACCAGCCUGCACAACAUGGCAAAACCCCAUGUAAAAAAAUACAAAAAUUAGCUGGGCACGGUAGCUCACGCCUGUAAUCCCAGCACUUUGGGAGGCCAGGGUGGGCGAAUCACAAGGUGAGGAGUUCGAGACCAGCCUGACCAACACGGUGAAACCCUGUCUCUACUAAAAACACAAAAAUUAGCCGGGCGUGGUGGUGCGCAUCUAUAAUACCAGCUACUUGGGAGGCUGAGGCAGGAGAAUCGCUUGAACCUGGGAGGCAGAGACUGCAGGGAGCUGAGAUCGCGCCACUGCACUCCAGCCUGGGCGACAGAGCGAGACUCCAUCUCAGAAAAAAGUUACAUCUAAAGUAAGUUACAAUGCUGUACAUACAUUUGACAUCAAUGACAGUCAAAGACAAUGAGAAGGGGAAAUGUCACAAAAGAACUGCCAUAGAAUUUUAACAGAAUGAUCUCUAAUGAUCUUUCCCACUCAUUUACUCAAGUCUUUGACAUCAGCUCAUAGCCUUCCUUCUCAACAGGAUCCUAUCAUAAUCCAGGGUGAUGGCAACAAAAAUGUACUCAUCUAACCAGGUACCUUGUUCCUAGGUGUCCUCUCUCCACGAAUCCACACACGCAGCCAAACUUGCUCUACCUCUAAAGCCAUUCAUUCGAGGCAUCCCAUUCUCUAGCCAUAAUCACUAGCAAUCCUGAAUAUUCGAGAUGCAUUUGUUCUCCAGCCUCAACUGUACCUGUCUUUCUUUGGUCCUCAGUUUUCUUCAUUUCAGCAUCUUUCAGAUUUCACUUCUACUUUCUCUGGUUUAUACUCACUGCUUGUAGGAAUUUAAUAUUAUCUCCUUCAUUUUGGCAAACUAUUUUUUUUUUUUUUUUUUUUUUUGCUACAGAGUUUCGCUCUUGUUGCCCAGGCUGGAGUGCAAUGGCGCGAUCUCGGCUCACCCCAACCUCCGCCUCCUGGGUUCAAGCGAUUCUCCUGCCUCAGCCUCCCUAGUAGCUGGGAUUACAGGCAUGUGCCACCACGCCCGGCUAAUUUUGUAUUUUUAGUAGAGGCAGGGUUUCUCCAUGUUGUGUCAGGCUGGUCUUGAACUCCCAACCUCAGCUGAUCGACCCGCCUCGGCCUCCCAAACUGCUGGGACUACAGGCAUGAGUCACCACACCCGGCCAUCAUUUUGGCAAACUAUUAAAACCUAUAAGAAAUCUAACUUAUUUCAAUGACCUAAAAGAAUCAAACAAGAAUUAAUAGUCUAUUAUACAGAAUAAAACCAUGUUUAUCUAAUCUUCUCAAGGACAUAAACAUAACAAACAUGAACGUGCUCAUUCAUUGGUGGGUAUUUUAACUCCUCAAUAGUCCAACCCUCAUCUGCUUUUCCUUAAAAUUAUUUCAUUAUUCCAGCUGAGGAGAAUUAAAUCAUGUGAAAAGCCCCAUAUCAGCCUUUCAUAGUAGCAUUUCUUCUUUCUUUCUUUUUUUUUUUUUUUUUUUUUUUUUUUUUUGAAACAGUCUCACUCUGUCACCAGGCUGGAGUGCAGUGGUGCGAUCUCAACUCACUGCAACCUCCACUUCCCGGGUUCAAGCGAUUCUCCUGCCUCAGCCUCCCAAGUAGCUGGGAUUACAGGCGCACGCCACCACGCCCGGCUAAUUUUUGUAUUUUUAGUAGAGACGGGGUUUCACCAUGUUGGCCAGGAUGGUCUCGAUCUCUUGACCUUGUGAUCCACCUGCCUCAGCCUCCCAAAGUGCUGGGAUUACAGGCAUGAGUCACCACACCCAGCCACAUUUCUUCUUUCUUCAUAAAUUUUUUCUGGGCCGGGAACAGUGGCUCACACCUAUAAUCCCAACACUUUGGGAGGCCGAAGCAGGAAGACUUCUUGAAGCUAGGCAUUCAAGACCAGCCUGGGCAAGAAAGUAAGACCCUGACCCUGUCUCAGCAAAAAAUAAAAAAAUAAAAAUUAGCCAGAUGUGGUGGCACGCACCUGUAGUCCCAGCUACUCAGGAGGCUGAAAUGAGAGGAUCUCUUGGGCCCAGAAGGUAGAGGCUGCAGUGAGCUACAAUCACACCACUGCACUGCAGCCUGGGCAACACAGUAAGAUCUUGCCUUUAAAAACUAAACAAAUAAAUCAACUUUUUUAAAAAACAAUUUUUUCCCUUAACGGUAUUUUCUAGCACCUAAUAUUAAAUACACAUGGUGGUUAUUUCAUGUUUUCUAGGAAACAAGUAACUAACAUAAAAACAAAAAAUAAAUAAAAUACACAUGGUGUGUGUUUGAUAAACAAUGGAAUAUUUUACCUCUUUCAUCACUUAAGCUUUGCAUAUAUUAACUCAUUUAACUCUUUUAACAAUUUUAUGAGGUAGGUAUUACUACUAUCUCCAUUUUGUAUCGAGGAAGCUGAGGCCCAGGGAGGUUAAGUAACUUCCUCAUUAAUAUAAAGCCUCUAUGCAGUAGAGCUCAGAUUUAAACCCAGGCGGUCUUGGAUUCUGCAUCUGUGCUCUUAGCAAUCAUGCCACACUGCCUCUCAAACCCAGGCUAAACUUUUGCUUAACUGAGAAAUCUUUCCACUGAAAACAUGGUUAAUAAUUAGUUUCAUUAUAUUCAAGUAAACACCAAAUUAGUACAUCGCUUCCAUACCAAUUGUAAUAAUCUCUAAAUUCUUCAUCUGUUUAUCAUUCAUAACACAGUAAUCAUUCUUCCUAUUUUCACAAACCAUUUCUUAUAUAAAUUUCCUAAACUUUACAUUUCCUUUCACUUUAAAUAGCUCAGUAACUUUCUAAUUUUUUCAUCCACCUGAAGUUACCGGGUUACUUUCUUCACUGUCUCAUUCUUUUCUUUUUUAAGACAGGGGCUCCCUCUGUAGCCCAGGCUGGAGUAUGGUGGUGUGAUACUGGCUCGUUGCAACCUCUGCUUCCCAGGUUCAAGCGACUCUAGUGCCUCAGCCUUCCAAGUAGCUGGGACUACAGGUGCACGCCAUCAUGACCCACUAAUUGUUGUAUUUUGAGUAGAGACAGGCUUUCGCCAUGUUGGCCAGGCUGGUCUUGAACUCCUGGCUUCAUGUGAUCUGCCCGGCUUGGCCUCCCAAAGUGCAGGACUACAGGUAUGAGCCACGGCACCUAGCCCCAAAAUAUUGUUUCAUUCUAUUAAGCAUGUAAUAUACAACUUACCAAAUUUUGUAACUAAGUUUUCCUCUUUCCUUCUUCUAAAAACCAUCAAUGUUUCAACUUCCCCUUAAAUUCUUUUUUAUUUUAUUAUCUUUUUUUUGAGGCAGGGUGUCACUGUCACCCAGGCUGGAGUGCAGUGGCACCAUCACGGCUCACUGCAGCCUCGACCUCCCCGGGAUCAGGUGAUCCUCCCACCUCAGCCUCCGGAAUAGCUGAGAGUGUAGGCAUGCGCCACCAUGGCCAACUAAUUUUUUUUUUUUUGGUAAUUUUUGUAUAGGUGGGGUUUCACCAUAUUGCCCAGGCUGGUCUCGAACUCCUGGGCUCAAGCUAUCCGCCUGUCUCCACCUCCCAAAGUGCCAAAAUGCAAGGAUUACAGGCAUGAGCCACCACACCAGACCUAAAUACUUUCUUUUGCUGAAUGUUAAAACAGUAUCAAAGUCAAAAAUUAGAACCACUUAUUCUGAGUGAAGCCAAUAAGCACUUCACCUUUGAAGGAGCUCUAAGUAGAACACGAAAGAAAGUUAUCAAUAUUUUAUCUGCUAACAUUUACACGGCAACCUACUUAAAAAGUUAUAUGGGUGCUUCCACUUCUGGAAAGCAUUGUCUUAUCUAAGAAGUCCAGAUUUUCUCUUUGCCCUUCUAGAAAACACAUACUAUCAAGUGUCAUCAAAUAUUUUUCUUAUGUUUUAUACCAAUUAAAAUUUAAUAAUGGAGGUGACUGUGAAGGGAGAAAGAACAAAGAGAAUACCCAAGCCUAGGUUUAAUUUUUAUAACUUUUUGAAGAAAAAUAUCAAGAAAAUAGGAAAACAGAAGAGAAUGAACAUUAUAUUUUCUACAUGAAAUUAAAAGAAGACAGUAGUUUGAGACAGGUCACUCUGAAAACAAAGUGUCAUACUUUUUUUUUUUUUUUUUUUGAGAUGCAGUCUCGCUCUGUUGCCCAGGCUGGAGUGCAGUGGCACAAUCUCGGCUCACUACAAGUUCCACCUCCUGGGUUCACACCAUUCUCCUGCCUCAGCCUCCUGAGUAGCUGGGACUACAGGUGCCCGCCACCACACCCGGCUACUUUUUGUAUUUUUUUAGUAGAGACGUGGUUUCACCGCAUUAGCCAGGAUGGUCUCGAUCUCCUGACCUCGUGAUCCACCUGCCUCGGCCUCCCAAAGUGCUGGGAUUACAGGCAUGAGCCACCGUGCCCGGCCCCAAAGUGUCAUACUUUUAAUAAAAGUAUAUGGUAUAAAAAUAAAAGUAUAUGGUUAAAAAAAAAAAAAAACUUCAACUACCCAGACCUCAAUUUGAAGGCCAAAUGUUGUAUUACUAAUAGUGAUACCCUGCACAAAUUAAUUCUCUGAAUCUCCAUUUCCUCAUCUGGAAAUUAGUAAUACCAUCUACCCUGAAGAAUGGGUUAUUAGAAGUAAUAAGAAUACAGCAGCUCAAUCAUUCCUUUUCUCCAACCAUUUCUUACAGUCACCACACUAAGCAAACAGCAAGAACUGACUCACCUCAAGCCAUUACAUAAAAUUUAUCUAUUAGACAGUGAGUUAAAGUAUCAAAUAAUUCUCAUUGUGAUGACCCCACAUAGACUGUUGUCUUAAAGUCUUUCUGCUGUAUUCAGCUCUAAGAAGAUGUUUCUUGAUGCGCAGUUAAAUUUACAAUAAAUUACCUGAAAAUUUUCUCAGGCAUGCCAAAAAUCACAAGAUCUAUUUAUAUAUUUUAGCAAUCUAGUGAAAACGUUCUUUACUUAUCAAGAACUGAUGAUACUUAAACUUCCUUCCAGAGGUCUCUACUCAGUUUAAUUUGUGAUAGCACUUGUAUGUGAGACAGCAAACACUAUACAUUUUAAGCAAAGAAAAAUACUAUAGAAGACUUCAUUUUUUACAGAGUUUAAAGGAAAGCUCAUUCUGAUGUUCAGAAAUACAGUGGCUCGGGAGUGGUGGCUCAUAACUGUAAUUCCAGCUCUUCGGGAAGCCGAGGCAGAAGGAUCACUUGAGCCCAGGAGUUCAAGACCAGCCUGGGCAACAUGGCAAAACCCCAUCUCUGCAAAAAUACAAAAGCUACUCAGUUGUGGUGGCAUGUGCCUGUAGUCCCAGCUACUCGGGAGGCUGAGGAGGGAGGAUCACUUGAGUCCACGAGGUGGACAUUGCAGUGAGUCAAGAUCAUGCCACUGUGACCUUGUCUCCCAAAAAAAAAAAAGAAAAAGAAAAUACAGUUACUAAACAGUUUUGUUUUUGUUUUGAGACAGUCUUCCUCUGUCACCCAGGCUAGAUUGCAGUGGUACAGUCUUGGCUCACUGCAACCUCCAUCUCUUGGGUUCAAGCAAUUCUCCUGACUCAGCUCCCAAGUGGCUGGGAUUACAGGCAUGUACCACCAUGCCUGGCUAAUUUUUGUAUUUUUAGUAGAGACGGGGUUUUGCCAUGUUGGCCAGGCUGGUCUCGAACUCCUGACCUCAAGUAAUCUGCCUGCCUCAGCCUCCCAAAAUGCUGGGAUUACAGGCAUGAGCCACCACGCCCACUCCAGUUACUAAACAGUUUUAUGUGUAACAUCACUUAGACUCUAUCCUAAGGAAAUAAUUGUAAAUAUGAGAUGACAUUUAUCUGCUAGAAUAUAAGUUCCAUCCGGGCGCAGUGGCUCACACCUGUAAUCCCAGCAGUUUGGGAGGCCGAGGUGGGCAGAUCACGAGGUCAGGAGUUCGAGACCAGCCUGGCCAACAUGGUGAAACCCCAUUCUCUACUAAAAAUACAAAAAUUAGGCUGGGCACGGUGGCUCACACCUGUAAUCCCAGCACUUUGGGAGGCAAGGUGGGUGGAUCACCUGAGGUCCAGGAGGUCGAGACCAGCCUUAACAACAAGGUGAAACCCCAUUUCUACUAAAAAUACAAAAAUUAGCCGGGCAUGGUGGCAGGUGCCUGUAGUCCUAGCUACUCGGGAGGCUGAGACAGGAGAAUUGCUUGAACCUGGGAGGCGGAGGUUGCAAUGAGCCGAGAUCACGCCACUGCACUCCAGUCCGGGCGACAAAGCAAGACUGUCUCCAAAAAAAAAAGAAAGAAUGUAAGCUCCAUGAGAGCAGAGAUUUUUUUCUAUUUAUUCAUUAUCAUAUCCUCAGUGCCUAGAACAAUGACAAUCACUUAUUUACUGAAUGGAAAUAAAAAGAUCCAUAGUGUUACAGCAGUAAAAAACAGAAAACACUUAUGAUACAUUAUGCAUUCAUUACAAUGAUGAUGAAAAUUUAUGAUUACAUAAAAGUGCUUACACUCAUUUAUUUAAAAAACAUUAACUUAGUGGCCGGGAGCAGCUUAUGCCUGUAAUCCCAGCGCUUUGGGAGGUCGAGGCGGGCAGAUCACUUGAGGCCAGGAGUUCAAGACCAGCACGGCCAACUUGGUGAAACCCCAUCUCCACAAAAAAAUACAAAAAUUAGUCAGGCAUGGUGUUGUGCACCUGUAAUCCCAGCUACUCAGGUGGCAAGAUUCUGUCUCAAAAAAAAUGACUAAGUCACUAACUUAGGCAUUAAGAAGACUGGGUUCUAAUGCCAACUCUGUCACUAAUUUGACCUGUACCUUGGGGUAAAGGACAACCUAUUUGGGCUCCAGCACCCUCGUAUGUAUUAUUUCCUCCCCAUUUCCUGGCCUUGGCUGGUCUUAAUGAGACUGGCUUUGGGUAGACAUUACAGCGAGUACAUGCCUGAGUUACCUCAGAAAGCAAAGACUAACACAAACAGCAGAGAAAAAGGGGAUGCAACCUGGAGCAGAUCAAAUGCUGCAUCCCAGUGGACUAGGAGAUCCUCAGUGACAUGCUCUUCAAGCCACACUGACUCAGAAUCAUCCAUUUUUAACUCUAGGACCUCAAAGCAUCCUUGAACCACUUUACAAUAAACAGCAAGUAAUUUAGGUCAUCUGAGUCAAGAGAACAAUGCCAUCCAGGGUAUACCAAAAUAUCAAGCCCUACUGUCAAAAGGACCAGAAAAUAAAGUACAGGUGGAGAGGAAGUGAUUUCACCCGCUGGAAAUAGAAAAAGUAGAUCUGUGUGUCAGCCAACAACUAUCACACAAUGGAACAGGAUGCUUACCUCUCUGCUGGAGGAAAAGAAGCUAUUCUCAAGUCCUUAGAAUAAAAACUAUUGUAAUCUUACUAUAUCUAUUUUAUGUCAUCUGAGAGCAAUCCAUGAGGACAAUGCUUCCUCUUUCAGAGAAUCUUCCAACUGAAAAUCUCAAAGAAUUCCCAAGCACCACUUGCCCUUCAACACCUACCUACACCUCACUUCUCUGCCCCACACUCACAAACUUUAUUAGCAUCCACAAUUAAAGAACCAUGAGGCCAGGCGCGGUAGCUCAUGUCUGUAAUCGCAGCACUCUGGGAGGCCAAGGUAGAAGAAUCACUUGAGCCCAGAGGGUUGAGACCAGCCUGGGCAACAUAGGGAGACCUUGUCUGUACAAAAAAAAAAAAUUCUCGGCCAGGCACGGUGGCUCACACAUGCAAUCCCAGCACUUUCAGAGCCCAAGGCAGGCGGAUCACAAGCUCAAGAGAUCAA